CGGCGUGGUCACCUGGGAAGACGCAGGGCCUGCGGAGGAGAAGCCGGACAGGGCCCUGCUGGGCUAGGUGACUCACGCCUGUAAUCCCAACACUUUUGGAGGCUGAAGCGGGCGGAUCACAAGGUCAGGAGUUCAAGACCAGCCUGGCCAACUUGGUGAAAGCCUGUCUCUACUAAAAAUUCAAAAAAAUUAGCUGGGCAUGGUGGCGGGCGCCUGUAAUCCCAGCUACUAGGGAGGCUGAGGCAGAAGGAUUGCUUGAACCUGGGAGGCAGAGGUUGCAGUGAGCCAAGAUUGAGUGACCGCACUCUAGACUGGGUGACACAGAGAGACUCCAUCUCAAAAUAAAUAAAUAAAUAAAUAAAUAAAUAAAAUAAAAUAAAAUAAAAUAAAAAAG
rnacentral:lncRNA from 10 species